rnacentral:rRNA from 1 species
CAUAAGCCAGCUUGACUGCGAGCGUGACGGCGCGAGCAGGUGCGAAAGCAGGUCAUAGUGAUCCGGUGGUUCUGAAUGGAAGGGCCAUCGCUCAACGGAUAAAAGGUACUCCGGGGAUAACAGGCUGAUACCGCCCAAGAGUUCAUAUCGACGGCGGUGUUUGGCACCUCGAUGUCGGCUCAUCACAUCCUGGGGCUGAAGUAGGUCCCAAGGGUAUGGCUGUUCGCCAUUUAAAGUGGUACGCGAGCUGGGUUUAGAACGUCGUGAGACAGUUCGGUCCCUAUCUGCCGUGGGCGCUGGAGAACUGAGGGGGGCUGCUCCUAGUACGAGAGGACCGGAGUGGACGCAUCACUGGUGUUCGGGUUGUCAUGCCAAUGGCACUGCCCGGUAGCUAAAUGCGGAAGAGAUAAGUGCUGAAAGCAUCUAAGCACGAAACUUGCCCCGAGAUGAGUUCUCCCUGAGACUUAGAGUCUCCUGAAGGAACGUUGAAGACGACGACGUUGAUAGGCCGGGUGUGUAAGCGCAGCGAUGCGUUGAGCUAACCGGUACUAAUGAACCGUGAGGCUUAACCUUACAACGCCGAAG